rnacentral:rRNA from 1 species
CCUACGGGUGGCUGCAGUGAGGAAUAUUGGUCAAUGGACGAGAGUCUGAACCAGCCAAGUAGCGUGAAGGAUGACUGCCCUAUGGGUUGUAAACUUCUUUUAUAUGGGAAUAAAACGUUCCACGUGUGGGAUUUUGUAUGUACCAUAUGCAUAAGGAUCGGCUAACUCCGUGCCAGCAGCCGCGGUAAUACGGAGGAGCCGAGCGUUAUCCGGAUUUAUUGGGUUUAAAGGGAGCGUAGGUGGAUUGUUAAGUCAGUUGUGAAAGUUUGCGGCUCAACCGUAAAAUUGCAGUUGAAACUGGCAGUCUUGAGUACAGUAGAGGUGGGCGGAAUUCGUGGUGUAGCGGUGAAAUGCUUAGAUAUCACGAAGAACUCCGAUUGCGAAGGCAGUUCACUGGACUGCAACUGACACUGAGGCUCGAAAGUGUGGGUAUCAAACAGGAUUAGAUACCCCAGUAGUC